CUGCAUCAGUUUGCAAUUUUUGUUUUGUAAAAUUCCUCAUGGAAAUUCAUUCGUAUUUUAGUGCAGAUUUCUCAUAAUAGACACAUUUUGGUACACAAAUUUAUCUGUUCUAUGCAUCUUUGCAAGCUACCUCCCCUGUUAUAAUGCAUUUUAUAUGCUAUUCUAAUCAAUAUACAAUUAUUUUGAUACAUACAUACUCAUUUUGUACACAUUAUUUGACCGGACAACUGUAUCACAAAAUUCAGAGAAGAGCAAAUUCAAAGGAUUGCUGUACUCCGGUUCGCAUAUUGCUUGGGAAAGUACAGAUUAGGUAGUUUUGCUUUAAAAUCCCAACCAAGCCAAAUUUCUUCCCUAUCCGUUAAUCCAACUAAGUCACUAAGUCACUGUCCAAUGGAACCUCAAAAUCUACUGUAAAGGGUUGGUAUAUAUGUGCACGUUUGCUGGUAAAGCAGACACUUUCCCAAAACAGUGAAUAAACCUGUGGUCAGUUGCCAUGGAUGAAUUUAAGGGAUGACUAUUAUUCCAAACGCUAAACUCUUAUUCCCCCACCCCGACACUCCAAGGUUACUGAAAGUUUAACUUUUGUUUUCUCUUCCACACAAACAGGAUGUGGCUACUCGAGGGCUUGAAAUGCAUGAAAAUAGCACCCCUAGGUUCUAUCUUUUUGCAAAAUUAUUUGAACUCCAUAGAUGCUGCAGAGUUUAUAUCCAUAUUUUUAGAGUUUGUGAGCCCUGGAUCCACAUAGUCUGUGUAUGUGGACGUCAAGGGAGCACUGAAAAUUUCAUUGAGUCUGGAUCUUAAAGAAAUAAGCAAACGCAAACAAAAACUAGCACUAACAGAAACAUAGGCCCCAUCUGGACUGUACUUUUAAAGCAGUAUCAUGCAACUUUAAACAGCUAUGACUUCCCCCAAGGAAUCCUGGAAAGUGUAGUUCAUGAAGGGUGCUUCAAUUUUUUAGGAGACCCCUAUUCCUCUCACAUAACUACAAUUCCCAGAAUGGUUUUACAGUCCUUUUCCUUGGGUCUAGGUCUUUAAAACAGCCACACCCACACAACAGUGAAACCUAAAAUUGACUUUUAAAGAAAAAGCACACAAAACUAAAUAUUUAAUUUUCUCCUUCAUGAAACCCAAGGCGGUAUGUAUGCAACUCCCUGGCUAAUCCGCCAUGGAUGUACCAACCAGACCCAAAAUGGCUUAUCUUCAGCAAUGUUCUGUACCCUAAGAGCCACGUAUGCAUACAAAAUACACAACUCAGUUCCCAUCUUCUGAGAAAAUAAUAAUAAUCCAUGAAUACAAGACAUUUUUGGAAGGGAGCUGGGUUUUUUUUUGAUAUUUGGAUCUUAAUGGCAAGUGCACUUUGAGUUCAAAACCUUUUUGGGGAAUGCAGGGUAAGUCUGGAAUGCCAAACACUUAAAUGAUGUUUAUUCCCUAAAAACAUCCAGGUAUUAUGAGGAAUGGUGGUUCAGAGGGCAAGCUGAUACAACUACACUGAAAUGUAAUGGGCUGCAUUAUGAUGGGUGGGAAAUGCAGCCCUUUUUUAUACAAAACAAAAACAAAAACACAACCCAGGCUAACAGGUAAAUAUGAAGAGAAAUAAAUGCAACACUAAAAAAAGUUUUUCAUGUGUAUGCAGAGAGCGCCACUGAAUCUUAGUAAAUUAUACCUCUCUGAUUAAGCUACUCAUUAAAGUACUGUGGAAAAAAUCCAGUAUAUUUAGGAGCAUGGCAGGAGACAGGUAGAAAAUUAUAGUAAUUUGAGCUGCAUUUAAAAAGAGGGCUGUGGAUCACCCCAGAUGUCUAGAUCAGGGUAUCCUACAUUUAAGUCAUGAGGCAAUGAAUUACGCUAUCUAGAAUGCAAGGCAUGUUUUUCUUUGCUGAAGUCUGAUGGAUGUCACAGAUGACAUCAUUAGCAUAAUCAUGUGAUUACAUAUUGUUGGUGAACAGUUAUGCUUUUCCCCCUCAUCCUUUUAGUAUAGCUAUAUUUCACCUCGCUCCACAAAGGUUCAGCACAUGGUUAAACCAUGGCAUUCGCUAUCACAAGAUGUGGCGACGGCCACCAAAUUAGGGCUUUUUAGUUUAGGGGGGCGAAAAAAUCCCCGUGGUGUGCGAACAGUUUUUUUCUCCCUUUUCUCUCCUAAUGCUAGAAUCUGGGGUCAUCCCAUGAAGGAUGGUGCAUGUAGUUCUCCUCCUUCCCAUUUUUUCCUCACAACAACGCCAUGAGGUAAAUUAGGCCAAGGGACAGGCCUGAGGCUCACCCACCGAGCUCCUUGCAGCAAUGGGGACUCGAACCGUCCGCUUCCAGGUCUCCCAUUGCCAGGAGAGGCUUCAUUCAGAUUGGUAUACGGGCAUGAUUUUUUUUUUUUUUACUGCAUGGGCUUUGGUUGCUGGCAUCUCUUAUCCCAAGUUACCUCACGCGCAGCUUUUGAGAGGAGAAAAUGGGUUAUUUGUCAUAUGCCGCUAUGUAAGCUACACUCAGCUCCUUAGACACAAAAGUAAUGAAUAAUAAUCUUCAAAGCACUCUGCUGGAGAAAGCCUGCGAUAGGUAACACAUGGCUUGUCCCGAAAGAGUGGUCUGAAUGCAGAGACCCACUGUGGCGACUGGCCCUUUGAUGGCAUUUAGCUCAAAACACAAAAGGGCCAUCUUUGUCCGUCUCUGAGAGCCUUCCCAGUGAAGCUUGAGUGUUUGCAACAUACAAAACAUUGUCAUCUGCCUUUUUAAAAAUGCCAAUUGAACAAGCCAGUUUAAUUGCCAUCCAGGCAAGCGACUGCUGUUACUGCAAACUGUGUAAAUUGUCUGUUUGUUGGGUUUUUUUUGUUUUUGUUUUUGAAAACACGGACAAACUAAUUUUUCUGUUCAGAAUCUCCUGCUGAUUCAGCUCUUCUUUUUUUUUUGGCACGCAAAGCCCUGAAUGACAGCCAAGGUGUCCUUCAAAUAUAGGGGGAGAUUAGUUUAUGAAAAAUCAGGUCAGAUAAUUUUCUAGAGUGCAUUGCUUUUUGCUGCCACUUACUCUGGUCUAAAUAAUAAAUUAAUAAACACAUGCCAUUAUUAGGCAUGGGCUUUGCUUCCUUGCUGAAUUUCGUCUUUUUGAGACAUAGCAAAACAAAACAAAACAAAAAACUUCUUUCUGUGAGCAGAAAUAGAUGUCAUUUUCCCAUUGAUGCGGGAUUGAUGGUGGGACAAUGUAGGGGUAGAAUACCUGCACCAUUUUGUGGCUCUCUCUGCUCUUCUAGAUGUGGCAGCCAUUUUGUGUCAUACACCCCCAUGGCAGCCAUUUUGUAACUGGUACUCAUGACACUUUUUAAAAUUUUGAAUAUACCCAUUGACCCCGAAAGAUCGGUGACCUACUAUAGUGCAAAUAGAUUGUCUCUUGUCAGUUUUCUCCCAUCUUCAUGAAAUACUUGACUUUACAGAGCUGAAAUUGGCUUUAUGAAAUUUCAGAGAAUCAUUUCCAUUUGGCCUUCAUGUCUGAUGCACUGAGGCUAGAAUGAGCCCCACUAAAGUCAAUGGGACUUACUCCUACAUAGAUACAUAAAUGAUUGUGUUUGUGAGUCUGCUGUCAUUCAAACUGACCUGUGUCAGCUAGGGGUAAAAACUAGUCCUCAUUGCUGAAAAUGAAAUGUAAACAUAGAUGAAGAUUUAAGAUUUUUUUUUAAAAAAAACCAGAAGUGAAAGAAAUGCCAUUCUCUGAAUGUGAUUAGUUGUUAAAACAACACUCAUGCACUUUACAUCCCGCCAAGAAUUGUUUCCAUAAAGUGAAAAAAUAUGAGAGGCAUUUGGCUUAUGUUGAGAAACAAAUGUUGAUGAAAGAAAUAGUUUUGCUGGAAUAAACCAGUCUCUGAAAAGUUUAAAAUAUGAAAGUUUUUGGCAAGGCCUGCAUCUAUGAGCAAAAAUCACCAUUGCUGGAUUCAAAAGAGAAUGAAUUCAGAUUUGAGGAUUCAUUCUGUUCUCCUUCAAUAGCUCUGGGCAUGAUUCUUGAGAAUGCUUAUAUCUCAGCUUUUCUUCUUUGGUAUAAUGGGUCACCUACACAGUCCUAUAAACAAGGGCUAUCAGGAAAUCAAUCUUGGGUCACGUGAUUUUUAGGAGAAACAGAGCAAGGAUAGAUGAUUGAUGACCCAUUCUAAUGAAAUAUUUUCAUUUGCAUGCAUCUAUGGGGGAAAUACUUCAGAAAGGGAAGAAUGUCAAUUUUACAAUAAUAAGAAACAGGAACCACACUGCAGCACAAAUGUACGGUUUCAAAAGAAUUGGCACAAUGGGACAAUAUUUGAAAUGUCCCACUUUUCUUUUACGCAGGCCACACACAGCCAAAUUCUCCAACUGGUUGUUGCAAUGAUUGCACAGAGGACUGUUCUUCUGGCAUUCUAGUUUGGUGUCAUUCCACAGGACUCUUAGCAGAGAGGAACAUUCCCAUUUGAUAAACCCUAUUGUUAAAACUGGGUUAAUGUGAUGGGGGUGGGGGAAAAGGUACCACCCCCCAGGAAUGCAUGAAAUAAAAUACCACAAAGUAAGUCCUGCAGCAUUUUGAAGACUAAUAAAUUUAUUAUGGCCUAAGGUUUAGUGGACUACUAAAAAUACAUUGCACACAUAAGUAUCAGCAAAACAAAAACUAAAAACAUUUUGCCAACCUUGAUAACGAAAAGAAAAGACCCUGAACAGUUUAAUGUUUUACAUUUUAAAUUCACCGACUCGUCACUUAUGUGUUUAUUGAAUUUAUAUAGCGCCCUCCGUCCGCAGAUCUCAGGCCGGUUC
rnacentral:lncRNA from 1 species